UACGUAGGCAGCAAGCGUUGUUCGGAGUUACUGGGCGUAAAGAGUAUGUAGGCGGUUGGGUAAGUUUGGUGUGAAAUCUCCCGGCUUAACUGGGAGGGUGCGCUAAAGACUGCCUGGCUCGAGUGUGGGAGAGGAAAGCGGAAUUCCUGAUGUAGCGGUGAAAUGCGUAGAUAUCAGGAGGAACACCUGCGGUGUAGACGGCUUUCUGGACCAUAACUGACGCUGAGAUACGAAAGCGUGGGUAGCAAACAGG
rnacentral:rRNA from 1 species